rnacentral:tRNA from 1 species
AAGGCCUUAAGUUAAAAGUAAACUAAUAACCUUCAAAGCUAUAAAUAAAGGGCCUCCUUUAGGCCUUG